AGUGAACGCUGGCGGUAGGCCUAACACAUGCAAGUCGAACGGCAGCACAGUAAGAGCUUGCUCUUACGGGUUGCGAGUGGCGGACGGGUGAGGAAUACAUCGGAAUCUACUUUUUCGUGGGGGAUAACGUAGGGAAACUUACUCUAAUACCGCAUACGCCCUACGGGUGAAAGCAUUGGAUCUUCGGACCUUGCGCGAUUGAAUUAGCCGAUGUCGGAGUAGCUAGUUGGCGGGGUAAAGGCCCACCAAGUCGACGAUCCGUAGCUGGUCUGAGAGGAUGGUCGGCCGCACUGGAGCUGAGACAGGGUCAAGACUACUGAGAGAGGCAGCAGUGGGGAAUAUUGGACAAUAGGCGCAAGCAUGAUCCAGCCAUACCGCGUGGGUGAAGAAGGCCUUCGGGUUGUAAAGCCCUUUUGUUGGGAAAAAAAAGCAGCAGGUUAAUACCACGCUGUUGUGACGGUACCGAAAGAAUAAGCACCGGCUAACUUCGUG
rnacentral:rRNA from 1 species